AAUUCUAUUACAGGGUCAAUUUAGUUAUGCCUGUGUGAUUGUAGAGCCUUUGGAGUUAAACACCAAUCGUAUCUAUGUUAAGGCUCGUCCAGAAAUUGCUGAUUUUGUUUGUCAUCCCGGACCUAAAAUUGUAUCCGAUAAAAGUGCUCCUCUAUUAGCUCGGCAAUUGGCUUUGCAUGCUAAUCUGGCUUCAAAUGUUUAUCAAAGUUUACAAAAGAAAAAUCCCUAUGCUUCCAACUGGUUGGAACGUCUACGCAGCAUUAAACGUUUACGCACUAAGCUACUUGAAAAUCAAAAUCGUGGCGGUUCUACCGCUGCCAAUGCCGAUAUUGACGAUAAACAAAAUACAAAUCGCGAUUUUUCGAAAUACACUUAAGUUUUUUUUCGCGUUUUUUUUGUUUUUUAUUUCAUUUAAAUUGUAUUUAAGCGUGUUCGCUUUUUUCCAAAUUAAACGUUGCCGCUUUCUUUGUUAAGUAGACUCUAAGGUAAAGUAAUCGUAACGAUAUAUAAACACGUAUUUUACGAAUAAAUAAAAAAACGCUUUGUAGCUUUUCUAAAAAAAA